rnacentral:rRNA from 1 species
GCAGCCGCGGUAAUACAGAGGUCUCAAGCGUUGUUCGGAAUCACUGGGCGUAAAGCGUACGUAGGCGGCUUGGUAAGCGGUGUGUGAAAGGCAGGGGCUCAACCUCUGGACUGCACAUGAUACUCCCAGGCUAGAGUAAUGGAGGGGAAACCGGAAUUCUCGGUGUAGCAGUGAAAUGCGUAGAUAUCGAGAGGAACACUCGUGGCGAAGGCGGGUUUCUGGACAUUAACUGACGCUGAGGUACGAAGGCUAGGGGAGCGAAAGGGAUUAGAUACCCGGUAGU